GCCCUCUUAGCUCAGUGGUAGAGCGUGUCACUCGUAUAGAAUAUAACAGGAGCAUCUUGUGAUGACAAGGUCAGUCGUUCAAGUCGGCUAGGGGGCA